rnacentral:rRNA from 1 species
AUUGAACGCUGGCGGCAUGCUUUACACAUGCAAGUCGAACGGUAACAGGCCGCAAGGUGCUGACGAGUGGCGAACGGGUGAGUAAUGCAUCGGAACGUGCCCAGUCGUGGGGGAUAACUAUCCGAAAGGAUAGCUAAUACCGCAUACGAUCUGCGGAUGAAAGCGGGGGACCUUCGGGCCUCGCGCGAUUGGAGCGGCCGAUGUCAGAUUAGGUAGUUGGUGGGGUAAAGGCUCACCAAGCCAACGAUCUGUAGCUGGUCUGGGAGGACGACCAGCCACACUGGGCCGGAGAAACGGCCAAGACUCCUACGGGAGGCAGCAGUGGGGAAUUUUGGAAAAUGGGCGCAAGCCUGAUCCAGCAAUGCCGCGUGCAGGAAGAAGGCCUUCGGGUUGUAAACUGCUUUUGUACGGAACGAAACGGCUCUGGUUAAUACCUGGGGCUAAUGACGGUACCGUAAGAAUAAGCACCGGCUAACUACGUGCCAGCCGCCGCGGUAA